GACCGAGGGUGCAAACGUUGUUCGGAAUUACUGGGCGUAAAGCGAGUGUAGGCGGUUCGAUAAGUCGGAUGUGAAAGCCCCGGGCUCAACCCGGGAAGUGCACUCGAUACUGUCGAGCUAGAGUAUCGGAGAGGUUGGUGGAAUUCUCGGUGUAGAGGUGAAAUUCGUAGAUAUCGAGAGGAACACCGGUGGCGAAGGCGGCCAACUGGACGAAUACUGACGCUGAGACUCGAAAGCGUGGGGAGCAAACAGG
rnacentral:rRNA from 1 species